rnacentral:rRNA from 1 species
GACGAACGCUGGCGGCGUGCUUAACACAUGCAAGUCGAACGGAAAGGCCUCUUUCGGGGGGUACUCGAGUGGCGAACGGGUGAGUAACACGUGAGUAACCUGCCCUUGACUUUGGGAUAACUUCAGGAAACUGGGGCUAAUACCGGAUAGGAGCUCCUGCUGCAUGGUGGGGGUUGGAAAGUUUCGGCGGUUGGGGAUGGACUCGCGGCUUAUCAGCUUGUUGGUGGGGUAGUGGCUUACCAAGGCUUUGACGGGUAGCCGGCCUGAGAGGGUGACCGGCCACAUUGGGACUGAGAUACGGCCCAGACUCCUACGGGAGGCAGCAGUGGGGAAUAUUGCACAAUGGGUGGAAGCCUGAUGCAGCAACGCCGUGUGCGGGAUGACGGCCUUCGGGUUGUAAACCGCUUUCGCUCAUGACGAAGCUUUGUGUGACGGUAGUGGGUAAAGAAGCACCGGCUAACUACGUU